CACGUAGGGUGCGAGCGUUGUCCGGAAUUAUUGGGCGUAAAGAGCUCGUAGGCGGUGUGUCGCGUCGGCCGUGAAAACCUGCAGCUUAACUGUGGGCGUGCGGUCGAUACGGGCAUCACUGGAGUUCGGCAGGGGAGACUGGAAUUUCUGGUGUAGCGGUGAAAUGCGCAGAUAUCAGGAGGAACACCGGUGGCGAAGGCGGGUCUCUGGGCCGAUACUGACGCUGAGGAGCGAAAGCGUGGGGAGCGAACAGG
rnacentral:rRNA from 1 species